UGGGGAAUUUUGCACAAUGGGGGAAACCCUGAUGCAGCGACGCCGCGUGAUUUAGAAGGCCUUCGGGUUGUAAAAAUCUUUUCUAUGGGAAGAAAAUGACAGUACCAUAGGAAUAAGGACCGGCUAAUUACGUGCCAGCAGCCGCGGUAAUACGUAAGGUCCGAGCGUUGUCCGGAAUCAUUGGGCGUAAAGGGUACGUAGGUGGGUAAGCAAGUUAGAAGUGAAAUCCUGUAGCUCAACUACAGUAAGCUUUUAAAACUGCUCAUCUUGAGAUAUGGAAGGGAAAGUAGAAUUCCUAGUGUAGCGGUGAAAUGCGCAGAUAUUAGGAGGAAUACCGGUGGCGAAGGCGACUUUCUGGCCAUAAUCUGACGCUGAGGUACGAAAGCGUGGGUAGCAAACAGG
rnacentral:rRNA from 1 species